rnacentral:rRNA from 1 species
GAUGAACGCUGGCGGCGUGCAUAACACAUUCAAGUCGAACGGACGAGGCCCUUCGGGGCUGAGUUAGUGGCGGGCGGGUGAGUAACGCGUGAGGAACCUGCCUUCCAGUGGGGGGACAACAGUUGGAAACGACUGCUAAUACCGCAUGACAUAUCCGAAGGGCAUCCUUUGGAUAUCAAAGCUUUAUGUGCUGGAAGAUGGCCUCGCGUCUGAUUAGAUAGUUGGUGGGGUAACGGCCUACCAAGUCGACGAUCAGUAGCCGGUCUGAGAGGAGUGGCCGGCCACAUUGGAACUGAGACACGGUCCCAA